UAAUUGUAGUAACUAAUGAUAGAACGCAAGCGAUGAAUUGUGAUAACGGCAGAAAAUAACGAGACACAAUAAUAAUGCAGGUAAAUUACUCAUUCAGUGAAGAGCGAAUAAUUUUUGGCAUUUGAAAAUCCAAUUUGAAAUUUCUUGGAGAACUCUCUUCCUCGUGGAAAUACCCGAUAAAUGUAUAAUUAUUGAGUCAUAUUUCACGUGCGUAACUGCUGAAUUUGUAGUAGCAGUAAUCUAUGUUAAUCGCACGAGGAUUGGUUAGCGUAAUUUUAAGUACACCAGUCUCGAAAGUGAGUUUCGCUCGCAUCACGCGGCUUUAGAAAAACAGGCUUUAGAAUAAACCAUGGUCAUAUUUCUGUGGGUCAACGUUCAAAAGAAAAGUUCUGGCCAAACGUAACAUUCCGCGAUGACGAAUAUGAUCUAAGAAAAACAUCAAUCUGCAUAGAGAUCUAUUAUUCAAUAUACAUAUAUAAUAAGAUUUAAUUUAAUCUUUGCCGCUUAUAAGUGCUGGAAUAAUGACUGAAGUUCCUGCGUAAUAAUUCUCCGUUACAAAUCGUUGCUACUCAUCACGUAAUUGUACAGGACAUGCAUAAUUACGGAGGUCUGUAGGUCUAGCUUUUUUUACACUGAAAAGGAUCGAAUACGUUUUGCUCGACUAUCUACAAGGUGAUCUCGUCAAGUUCAACACGCAAUUA